GACGAACGCUGGCGGCGUGCUUAACACAUGCAAGUCGAACGAAGUGGCGAACGGGUGAGUAACGCGUCAUCAACCUGCCCUUCAGAGGGGGACAACAGAUGGAAACGACUGCUAAUACCGCAUACUGAAGGCAGGGAAUGCGUGGGCUUAGCUAGUUGGAGGGGUAACGGCCCACUAAGGCGCUGCUCGGUAGCCGGUCUGGUAGGAUGAACGGCCACAGUGGGACUGAGACACGGCCCAGACUCCUACGGGAGGCAGCAGUGGGGAAUCUUCCGCAAUGGACGAAAGUCUGACGGAGCAACGCCGCGUGAGUGAUGACGGCCUUCGGGUUGUAAAGCUCUGUUAAUCGGGACGCGGUACCGAAGUAGAAAGCCACGGCUAACUACGUGCCAGCCGCCGCGGUAAUUC
rnacentral:rRNA from 1 species